rnacentral:rRNA from 1 species
GACGAACGCUGGCGGCGUGCUUAACACAUGCAAGUCGAACGGAAAGGCCCUGCUUUUGUGGGGUGCUCGAGUGGCGAACGGGUGAGUAACACGUGAGUAACCUGCCCUUGACUUUGGGAUAACUUCAGGAAACUGGGGCUAAUACCGGAUAGGAGCUCCUGCUGCAUGGUGGGGGUUGGAAAGUUUCGGCGGUUGGGGAUGGACUCGCGGCUCAUCAGCUUGUUGGUGGGGUAGUGGUAUACACAGGCUUUGACGGGUAGCCGGACUGAGAGGGUGACCGGCCACAUUGGGACUGAGAUACGGCCCAGACUCCUACGGGAGGCAGCAGUGGGGAAUAUUGCACAAUGGGCGGAAGCCGGAUGCAGCAACGCCGCGUGCGGGAUGACGGCCGUCGGGUUGUAAACCGCUUUCGCCUGUGACGAAGCGUGAGUGACGGUAAUGUGUAAAGAAGCACCGGCUAACUACGUG